UACGAAGGGUGCAAACGUUGCUCGGAAUCAUUGGGCGUAAAGCGCACGUAGGCGGCCUCGCAAGUUGGAUGUGAAAUCCCUCGGCUCAACCGAGGACGUGCAUCCAAAACUGCUUGGCUUGAGUACUGAAGAGGAUCGCGGAAUUCCCGGUGUAGAGGUGAAAUUCGUAGAUAUCGGGAGGAACACCAGUGGCGAAGGCGGAUCUCUGGACCAGUUCUGACACUGAUGAGCGAAAGCCAGGGGAGCAAACAGG
rnacentral:rRNA from 1 species